GGAUUAGAUACCCUGGUAGUCCACGCAGUAAACGAUGAUCACUAGGCGUUGGAAUGUUUUUACGCUUCUGCGCCAAAGCGAAAGUAUUAAGUGAUCCACCUGGGAAGUACGUUCGCAAGAAUGAAACUCAAAGGAAUUGACGGGGGCCCGCACAAGCGGUGGAGCAUGUGGUUUAAUUCGAUGUACGCGAGGAACCUUACCUAGGCUUAAAUGUAUUUGGACCGGUAUGGAAACAUACUUUCUCUUCGGAGCCAUGUACAAGGUGUUGCAUGGUUGUCGUCAGCUCGUGUUG
rnacentral:rRNA from 1 species